rnacentral:lncRNA from 1 species
AAGAGGUAAUGGCCUUAAGUUGUGCCAGGGAAUGUUCAGGUUGGAUAUUAGAAAAAAUUUCUGCACAGAAAGAGUGACGAGGUACUAGAACAGGCUGCCCAGGGAUGGUGAUGGAGGUGAUGAAGUCACCGUCCCUGGAGGUGUUGAAGAAAUGUGUAGACAUGGUACUGGGGGAUGUGAUUAGUGGGCACAGUGGGGAUGGGCUCACAGUUGGACUACAUGAUCUUAGAGGUCUUAUCUAACCUUGAUGAUUCUGUGAUUCUAUAUAGUCUUCUUGCAGGCUGGAAGAAAAGUGGGAAGAUUUAGUUGUCUGCCUCUGACUUUCCACCUUGAAAACUGAGAAGUAUAGUGUCUUCUCAUGAAGAACAGUUUUCAUACUGUUGACUGCCCUCCUCUUCUGGACUGCCCUUGUGGCAGAGAGAUGGCAAUGCAAAGAGGAAAGCAUGGCCCUGCUGCCAUUGCUGCCCUGGCCCUUAUGGACACGAUCCCAAAGCUGCAUAUUAGUGGAACAUCACCUUGAGCUGGUCAACAAAAGCAAUACCACAGCGUGUGGAUGCAGUGAGCCACUGCUGGACUAUGAACUCAUUCAGCCAUCAGUGUGCUAUUCACAGUGUACUGGAAACCUUAUUCUGGAAACAUUAUUUUAGCAAAAGCAUUUCACAGUUUAUAGCAGGUGGCUACAGAAGUUGAGAAGUGCUGCUUCAUAGGUCCAGCUGAACUGACAAGACCCAAGUCCAGUUUCCUACCUGCCAGUAUGGUCUCAAAACAAGUGGAAUCAACAGGGUCCUCAAUAUUGCUUAUGCAGAAAGAUGCUGCUUGUCUACAGAAGGCAGUGCCAAUUUAUCAAAGAGAAAAAUAGCAUUUCUGCAUUCCAACCCACAUUUCAUAAAAAGGACAGCAUUUUUUCAGGGAAUGCAGAAAGCAGAACUAUCUUCCUGCAUGCAAUGGUACUGAACACAAGGUUAGCUGACAAUUCUGUGAUUUGCAUAAGCAAAGGCUGUACUAGCACAUAGACCUCUAUUUUUAGAAAGCACAAGUUCCUUUGGUGGACCAAUGCUGAAGUACUCUGCAGAGGAUGAUUUUGAAGACAGUCGGAAAACUAGGCCCUGCGAAGAUGCACAACUGGGAACUCCCCAGCUCCCCAGUUGUUCUGAAUCCUUUUUGGAGGAGAAUCUGUUGGCCCCAAAGGGCUGCAAAAGUCAUAGAAUCAUUGAGGUUGGAUAGACCACUAAGAUCA